rnacentral:rRNA from 1 species
CCUACGGGAGGCUGCAGUCGAGAAUCAUUCACAAUGGGGGAAACCCUGAUGGUGCGACGCCGCGUGGGGGAAUGAAGGUCUUCGGAUUGUAAACCCCUGUCGUGUGGGAGCAAAUUAAAAAGACAGUACAACAAGAGGAAGAGACGGCUAACUCUGUGCCAGCAGCAGCGGUAAUACAGAGGUCUCAAGCGUUGUUCGGAAUCAAUGGGCGUAAAGCGUGCGGAGGCGGUUUCGUAAGUCGUGUGUGAAAGGCCCGGGCUCAACCCGCGAACGGCACCUGUUACUGGGAGACUAGAGUAAUGGAGGGGGAAGCGGAAUACUCGGUGUAGCAGUGAAAUGCGUAGAUAUCGAGAGGAACACUCGUGGCGAAGGCGGGUUCCUGGACAUUAACUGACGCUGAGGCACGAAGGCCAGGGGAGCGAAAGGGAUUAGAUACCCUAGUAGUC